CCUACGGGAGGCAGCAGUGGGGAAUAUUGGACAAUGGGCGAAAGCCUGAUCCAGCCAUGCCGCGUGUGUGAAGAAGGCCUUCGGGUUGUAAAGCACUUUCAGUGGGGGAGAAAGCCUUGGGGCUAAUACCCUCGAGGAAGGACAUCACCCACAGAAGAAGCACCGGCUAACUCCGUGCCAGCAGCCGCGGUAAUACGGAGGGUGCGAGCGUUAAUCGGAAUUACUGGGCGUAAAGCGCGCGUAGGCGGUCUGAUAAGCCGGUUGUGAAAGCCCCGGGCUCAACCUGGGAACGGCAUCCGGAACUGUCAGGCUAGAGUACAGGAGAGGAAGGUAGAAUUCCCGGUGUAGCGGUGAAAUGCGUAGAGAUCGGGAGGAAUACCAGUGGCGAAGGCGGCCUUCUGGACUGACACUGACGCUGAGGUGCGAAAGCGUGGGUAGCAAACAGGAUUAGAUACCCGUGUAGUC
rnacentral:rRNA from 1 species